ACAAGCUCGUGUCUACGGGUCU
rnacentral:miRNA from 1 species